UACGGAGGGUGCAAGCGUUAAUCGGAAUUACUGGGCGUAAAGCGUGCGUAGACGGUUGCGCAAGUCAGAUGUGAAAGCCCCGGGCUCAACCUGGGAAUUGCAUUUGAGACUGCGUAGCUAGGGUGCGGAAGAGGGAAGCGGAAUUUCCGGUGUAGCGGUGAAAUGCGUAGAUAUCGGAAGGAACACCAGUGGCGAAAGCGGCUUCCUGGGCCAGCACCGACGUUCAGGCACGAAAGCGUGGGGAGCAAACAGG
rnacentral:rRNA from 1 species